UUUAUCACCGAGUGCUUGCACUCACCGAUAAAGAGUUGAGUGGCGAACGGGUGAGUAACACGUGGGCAACCUGCCCAAAAGAGGGGGAUAACACUUGGAAACAGGUGCUAAUACCGCAUAACCAUAGUUACCGCAUGGUAACUAUGUAAAAGGUGGCUAUGCUACCGCUUUUGGAUGGCCCCGCGGCGCAUUAGCUAGUUGGUGGGGUAAAGGCUUACCAAGGCAAUGAUGCGUACCGAACUGAGAGGUUGAUCGGCCACAUUGGGACUGAGACACGGCCCAAACUCCUACGGGAGGCAGCAGUAGGGAAUCUUCCACAAUGGGCGAAACCUGAUGGAGCAACGCCGCGUGGGUGAAGAAGGUCUUCGGAUCGUAAAACCCUGUUGUUAGAGAAGAAAGUGCGUGAGAGURACUGUUCACGUUUCGACGGUAUCUAACCAGAAAGCCACGGCUAACUACGUGCCAGCAGCCGCGGUAAUACGUAGGUGGCAARCGUUAUCCGGAUUUAUUGGGCGUAAAGGGAACGCAGGC
rnacentral:rRNA from 1 species